AACCGGGACGUGGCGGUU
rnacentral:snRNA from 1 species